CGGCGGGGUAGGAGGAGCCGGCGGCACCACCACCCCCGGGGCGCAGCGCCUCUGCAGGAUCUCCGUGUGGGUCUGGCAGUCCGUCAUCCACCUGCUGCAGAUGGGACAGGUCUGGAGCUUAAGCAAAAGACGUGAAGCGUUAAGGCUGGAUUGGCGCUGUUUUGACAUCAUCUGAUUUCAUCAGAGAAGGUGCUGUAGGAUCAUCCUCUGAAAGACAACAGAAUGAUCUGAAAGGUUAUUAUGGGUUGUGAGAUGCUCCAGUACUUGGAUCAGUGUGUUUCAUUCAAUGUUGAGAAGGAGUGGGCUGGGUUUUGUUUGCUUUUCUUCAGCUGAUGUCGUUGUAACUCGGCGUAGCAGUCCCAGCUGAGGCAUACCUACGUACAUAAAACAUGACAACACCGUGUGUAGAGCAAACGAAGCCAUCCCUGGGCAGAAAAAGUCCCCGAGGAGCUGGUGAACACUAAUGGGAAGGGGGAAGCUUUGGCUGAGGAGCUGUUGAGAGGGAAUAGAUGCCAGAAGUGUGAUGAGAACUGUGAUGCCCACACGGACCAAAUGCAGCUCCUUUUGGCCUAGCAGCCUGCUGACUUCCACGGAAGGACCAAGAGUGCAGGGGAUCCUCACCCUUGCCGGAGGUUUAGCAAGGUUUCUGCUCAGGUGUGAAUGAAAGGGAGAAGGAAAAUCUCUCUCCCGUGCCAGGCUGAGGCAGCAUCUGCUGGGACAGCGCGGUCUCGCGUCGCUGAAGGUUGCGAAGCCUCAGGUGAGGUCUCAGACACAGUGGGAGCUUUGCUGCUGGCUUGGUGAUAGCUGGGACUUCCCUUCCGAGCCAGAGAGCUGUUGGCUGCUUUUAAUUCCCCCCUGUGCUCUGCUCUGUCCUCUUCAGCACAGCACUGAGUCCUCUGCCAGGGUGAUGCACGAGCUGUCGUGAGCCGUGGUUAUGGGGUUGCAUGAGACAGGUUAGGAAAAAAACAAGCAUCCAUUGAUAUUUACAUUUAUUUUUAUAUAUUUUAAUUUAUACGCAUAUAUUUCAUUUUUUAUAUAUACACAUAUAUGUUUAAAACUAUCCUGGGACUUGCGGACUGAGAUCAGACGUGAUGGGAUUCGGAUGACGACACCCUGCCCGUAACCAAGCGGACAGACCUGCGUAACGAGGCUUUGACUUCGCUGCAGACCUGCUGUCUGUCCCCAGCCGUAGAUUUCCUUCGUAAAAGCCUGUUAAAAUAGCUCUGCUCUCUGGGAUAUUUAACUCGCUGUGUUUUCACUUAGCCACGCUGAACCUUGUGGAAGGGAGUAUUCCAGCUUCCAGUCCGGUGUGCAUCUAGAGUUCAGAAAUCUCCGCAGAAGAUUAAGCAAGUUAGAGAGAGAAAUUACUCCUGAUCCCUUUCUGCCAGCAUAGGAUUAUCCCCCAGCAUACUGGUUUUGAAGUUUAUGUCUAAUCCAGUCUUACACAUCCCUGGGGACCGGGCUCCUUACGAUUUCUGCGGAGCAGUUGUGGCGCAGCGUCUGAUUUAGAGGUACUUACUCGGCACCGAGAUACAAUUUGCAUUUCCAUUACUGCAGCCCAUUUCAUCCUGUGCCAUAUACAUAAUGCUGCUACUUUGUGGUGUACGGCUUUCAGAGGCAUAUGGAUCAUUAUCGUGCUCGUGCUAUUCUAUGCGCUCACUACGCUCUUAGCUCGGCUCUACAGAUUUGAACCCCAGCCUUGCAAACAGCUGCGUGGGACUCGUGUGCAGGUCUUUGAACUGUUGAACGUAUUUAUGUACAAAAGGGCUUGUGUCCUGUGCAAAUGAUAGUAUGUAAGGACAGGUGGCAUGAAAUAAGGUGAAAAGACCCGCAUGCACAGAAAUAGUGGUAGUCAAGGCAAAGAGGAGGCUCCUGUUGCUGCUUUCCAGGCUCAGUGGUCACUUUGGAGCUUUUCGAUGCACUGCAUUUUUAUGCACGGUGAAUUUGUAAAAACAUAUUUUAUUUUUUUUUUAAUAAAUGUAUACUUUCAGGCUU